rnacentral:rRNA from 1 species
AUGUCACCACAAACAGAAACUAAAGCAGGUGUUGGAUUUCAAGCUGGUGUUAAAGAUUAUAAAUUGACUUACUACACCCCAGAACCCCAGAGUACACACGUAUUGAUGAUUUUUUCUAAGAAAGGACACAAAGCAAAUAUUUAA